UCGGCUUGACAUGCACGUGGUACCGACUCGUAAGGGAAGGGACCCGCAAGGGAGCGUGCACAGAUGCUGCAUGGCUGUCGUCAGCUCGUGCCGUGAGGUGUUGGGUUAAGUCCCGCAACGAGCGCAACCCUUGCCCUUAGUUGAAAUCUCUAGGGGGACCGCCGGUCUAAACCGGAGGAAGGUGGGGAUGACGUCAAGUCAGCACGGCUCUUACGUCGAGGGCUACACACACGCUACAAUGGCCGGUACAAAGGGCUGCGAAGGGGCGACCUGGAGCUAAUCCCAUCAAAGCCGGUCUCAGUUCGGAUCGCAGGCUGCAACUCGCCUGCGUGAAGUCGGAGUUGCUAGUAACUGCUGGUCAGCACACAGCAGUGAAUACGUUCCCGGGCC
rnacentral:rRNA from 1 species